rnacentral:rRNA from 1 species
AUGUCCAUGGAUGUGGUUUUAUUCCUAUUUGGCAUAUGUAUUGUAGCAGCAGACUAUAUAGACUUGAAAUGUAAGAAAUGGAAUAACAGUGUUUGGUUUGUGCCAAAACCAAUGCUACCCCAAAUUUGGCUAGCCAACGUUGGCAACAAGUUUGGCUUGAUGAUUUGGGCACAAACCAAAUCACACCCUAAUUCUAUGUUUAUGCUUUGGAAUUCCUUCUUGGCUGGGAACUUUUGGCAUCUGCAAGUGGAUGCAAUGUGGCUAUAUAUUCUGAAUGGAAAAGAUUGUCAUAGAUAUUUCAUGUAUGAGUUGCAAUCUUUGCAGUGA